AUCCCGAUUCAGGGAGCAAAUUGAUGAUUGAACAAACAACAAAUCUCAUAUUUGACCAGAAGGCGCCUACAGCUGUUCAACAAUGCACUGAGUGGAGUCUUGCGUCCUCCUUCGCGCACGCGCGCGCACGCAUCUGGGUAGGCAGAGCACGCGCCCCUGCAAAUCCAGCACAUUGCUGACGUGCGCUUGCAUGGAGCACCUGCUUGGCGAGGAGGCUGCGCCCAUCUCUGCGCCACAACCGUGCUCUUCUCUGACUUUGGACACUUUUGAAACGUGCUGUUAGUUUUCAUCCGUGCGCCUUCUAAAAUCAUGCUUCAAAUCCGAAGAUAUAUUCGCAAUUUGAGUUUUGAUGACACAUCUUCUGUGAUGCGCGGAGAGUUACGCAGCGCCAGUGCGCAUUGGAACAAACUUUGAACGCUUGAACCACCGGAAGAUUUAUUUCUUUUUUAGGAAUGAUCCAAGGUGAAUCACCGCUUGCUUGAGGGGGUUCCGCCAGUUUUUUUGUGGGUCUGGAUUGGACAAGGGAGACUAGGGGAAGUCGUGAUCGGUCCUGAAGAAUCGCACGACUGUAUUAAGGAACGGAGCGGACGCGCGGAUGAGACAACAUGGGUCCAAUGCUGAACGAUGGACGAGUGGCGCACCUCCUCUUUCCACUCCUUCUCCUUUUGCGAGUUCCCUUAUUGUUCAGCUUCGUCGAGCGCACGUGCCCAAAUAGUUGUCGGUGCGAAGGGAAGACGGUUAAUUGUGAUUCGUCUGCUUUCUUGGAUGUCCCAGAAAAUAUUUCCGUGGGGUGCCAGGGUCUCUCCAUGCGCUAUAAUGAGCUGCACACUCUGUUACCGUAUCAGUUUGCUCACUUGGGUCAGCUUCUCUGGAUAUACCUGGAUCACAAUCAGAUUUCAGCGGUCGACAGUCGGGCAUUCCAGGGAGUUCGGAGACUAAAAGAACUCAUUAUGAGCUCGAAUAAGAUCACGUCGCUGCACAAUUCGACAUUCCACGGAAUUCCCAAUCUUCGUAGUUUAGACCUGUCGUACAACAAGUUGGAAAUCCUGCAACCGGGACAAUUCCAUGGUUUGCGGAAGUUGCAAAACCUACACCUCCGCUCAAACGGUCUCUCCAACAUCCCCAUCCGAGCGUUCCUCGAGUGCCGAAGUUUGGAGUUUCUGGAUUUGGGCUACAAUCGAAUCAAGGCUCUCACACGCACCACCUUUUUAGGGUUACAGAAGCUGAUGGAGUUGCAUCUUGAGCAUAACCAGUUCACCCGGAUCAACUUUUUUCUCUUUCCUCGUCUCGCCAAUCUGAGAUCGUUAUACCUGCAGUGGAAUCGAAUCAAGGUGGUCAAUCAGGGACUUCCGUGGACGUGGUAUACGCUGCAGAAACUCGACCUGUCUGGAAAUGAAAUACAGAUCCUGGAUCCGGCCGUGUUCCACUGCUUGCCCAACCUUCAAGUUCUCAACUUGGAAUCCAACAAACUGUCCAACGUAUCUCAAGAGGCGGUGUCGGCGUGGAACUCGCUGACUUCCAUCAGCCUGGCUGGCAACAUAUGGGAUUGUACCACUGGCAUAUGUCCGCUGGUGGCUUGGUUGAGAAAUUUCCGUGGCACAAAAGACACCACUAUGAUAUGCAGCAGCCCAAAGUAUCUCCAAGGAGAAAAGAUUAUGGAAGCCACAAGGAACCACGGCAUUUGCGAGGAAAUCGAUUACGUUCUGAACGAGACACCCUCGCCGAUGUCGGAGCUUUUUUCCGAAGCCACCAAUGAGCCGACCUUUGCCCCCACUAGCGGUUCUCCACUCAUAUCACCAACCUACGAUCCACACCCACCAUUUCGACCGCAACCUAUUCCUCGUCCUACGUUCCCUGGGCACAUGAGUAAAGAUCCAAGAGACUCGGUGGCACGUAGUCGACCCACUCACAUUCUACCCCCAGAGAUGGAACAUAUGACUCUGCAUAAAGUCGUGGUAGGCAGUGUGGCACUCUUCUUCAGCAUGUCUCUCAUUUUGACCAUCGUCUACGUCUUGUGGCGCCGCUACCCGGGCGCAACCAGAUUGCUCCACCAGCGAUCCAUGGUGGGGAGAAAAUGUCGCAAAAAAAGUCCCGAGCCGGAGCAGGACCUAAGCACCCAGCUGCAAGAAUAUUACAUGAGCUACAACCCUGCUGCCACUCCGGAGGCAUUGGAAGUGCUUGGCAACGGCACUGGCUCCUGCACUUGCACAAUGUCUAGCUCCAGGGAGUGUGAGGUAUGAUCCAUCGCAUCAGCCUAAAAGUAGAAAUCAAAUUCAAAAUACAAAGCCUCAUCAGACAGAAUGAGUAUACCUGUCGACGCCCACUACCUGGUGCGUGGCUGGGCGAGCUGCCUACUAUCCAUUAGAAGGAACCGCCGCUGGGGAACAACACACCAAUCCAACAAAUACAAUCACAGAGAGCAUUGUGUAGAGAAUAGCAGAAGAAACCCUUUUUUUUCACUUUCUGGAAAGUCACAAGAAUCAAAGAUGAUAUUUCCAAUAAUCGUUUUCUGUACUGAUGGCCUAAUAACCACUUUUGCUUAUUGUCUCUAUGAGGACAACGUGGUUGGAUUCCAAGAUGGAGACUGUACAUAUGCAAGUUUUGCUUUAAAACCGAUGAAUAAGCUCGCACAGAUGAGUUUGGACUAUUUCGCUGACAGUGACAGUAAAGCGGAUUUGGAUUCUAUAUGAACCGUUAUGUCAUUGGGCAAGACUCUACAUGAAAAGAUUCAAGGCUCAGAUGGUGUCUAUGUGCCUCACGGGAUCUGAUUUUUUUAUUUUUAUUUUGCACCUGUUGUUUCAGAUGAUCAGGCGGUCAGAAAAAAAAGAGAAAAUUAGCCAGUGCUAAGACUAUCCCAAGCUAAUGACUUAUCUUGUUGUGCGUUUGUAAUUUAUUUUAUUUUUUGUAUGUUUCAUUUUCAAUGCUUUGAUUGAAUGGACAGAACAUGCAAUCAAAAGUAAAAGUAGUGGAAAAAAAGAAAAACACGUCAUGAAUGAAAUGUACUUUUCUAAGCGUAUAAUGUUAAUGACGAUGUACUUUGAGGCAUUUUUUCUCCUGCCGUUUUUAACCUUAAACACCAAAUGCACUGCUUCUGUUGCUGGCUCCACCCCCUCGCUGUGGCUCCGCCCCUCACCGACCUAUCAUCAUUACAUGUGAUGUGUGUAAAGUAGAAAUAAUCGUUUGUCCUCCAACCUUUUUUUUUUUCCCCAACCAGUAUUGAUGAUAACUUAUUGCUAUUGAUUUGUGUGGACACAAAAUGAGAAAAUCUCAACAUGCGUGGAAGGGACAUUUCUUCUAAACUUGUUACCCGACUAAAUUCUUUUCAUUUUCCCUCAGCACAGUUUCAAUUGGCCACUAAAUCGUCCUCUGUUGUGGAUCAACUUUUUUUUGCCGUUGUUUUUCCCAGUAUAUGUGCAACUGUGCGUGUCUUUGUGAAUCUCCCAGUGAGGGUGUUGACUCAAACCCAUCCUGUCGAGAUAAUCUUUCUCACAUCAAA